rnacentral:lncRNA from 1 species
UGGAGUACAAACAAACAAUUUUAUUAGUAUGGCGCUCAGGAAUAUAAAUAAAACAAGUCUUUUACGUUUCGAGCCUACGCUCUUCAACAGAAAGAUACACAGAAAAGAAACACAGAGAAACAAGGAGAGAAAAAAUAUGCAUGUAGAAGCUAGCGAUUCAACAUGGUGAAGUAUGUAUGUAUAUGUUUGUGUGUCUGUGUUUGUCCCCCACCACCGAUGGUAGUGUGUUUACGUCCCGUAACUUAGCGCUUCAGCAAAAGAGACUGAUAGAAUAAGUACUAGGCUUACAAAGAAUAAGUCCUGGGGUCAAUUUACUCGACUAGAAGGUGGUGCUCCAGUAUGGCAACAGUCAAAUAACUGAAACAAGUAAAAGAGUAAAGAGUAUAGUGUAAUAGCUGUGGAGGCACAUGGCCUAAUGGUUAGAGCAGCGGACUCGCGGGUUUAAAUCUCAGACCGGGCGAUGUGUGUUUUUAUGAGCGAAACACCUAAGCUCCACGUGGGUCUGGCAGAAGGUAAUGGCGAACUUCUACUGACUCUUUCGCCACAACUUUCUCUCACUCUUUCCUCCUGCAUCUUUCAGCUCACCGGCGUCCCGUCCAGGUGGGGAACCUAUACACCAAGGAAACUGGCCCUUAUGAGCCAGGCAUGGCUUGAGAAGGAACAAAUAGCUGAUUUGGCAACUCAAAUGUUUUCUUAUAGAAUGGCUUAUGUUGCUCUUUCAAAAGCUAGAAAGUUGUGCAUUCUUUAUUCAUCUGACUUUAACCCCAGAUCUCUCAUAAUAUGUGACAAAUCUGUUUGGGUAAAGUACAACACAUUAAGAGCAACUACUGUUGAAAGAUCAGUUUUGCCUCCUUUACCACCUUGCAGGAAAAAAAAAAAAAUAACCUCCUUGCAUGGCUAAUGCUUCUAGCAUGCCUAAAAAAAACAAAGAGAUGGGAUCAUGAAGAAAUCACUGAAAAUCAUCAUCAUUUAAUGUCUGUUUUCCAUGCUAGCAUGGGUUGGACGGUUCAACUGGGGUCUGGGAAGCCAGGAGGCUGCACCAGGCUCCAGUCUGAUCUGGCAGUGUUUCUACAGCUGGAUGCCCUUCCUAAUGCCAACCACUCUGUGAGUGUAGUGGGUGCUUUUUACGUGCCACCAGCACAGGUGCCAAGGGAGGCUGGUAGCAGUCACGAUCGGUUGGUGCUUUUUACGUGCCACCGGCACAGGUAUCACAACUACAAUUUCCAUGGUAGAUGAGUUCAGCAAAAAUUUAGUUUCAGAUGAAUAUGGUACUUAAGUUGAGGCACCAGAAUUGAACAACCAAAAAAAAAAGAAGAAACCUGAAAAUUAUCAAAAUAAUUUUAUCCUUACUUGGGUUACUUUUCUUUUCGACCCUUUAGAAUUGGAAUUUUUAAAAAGUAAAAAUUUUGCAUUAUGUGGCUUUCGAAUGUAUGUGCCUGUGUGUGUGUGUGCGCCAAUUCUCUUUAAGUGAACAUUUUUCUGGUUGAAAUACACCAAAAAAUGGUGACACAGCAGUAAAAAAAUAUCGCAAAAAAUAGAGAUUUUCAUAGAAAAAAGCACCUUUUUUAUGUAAAUAAUUUUUGGUGUUAACAUGGUCCGAUUUGAAUUUUAUCCUCUACGUAAUGAAGAGCAAGCCUUCUUCUAUCAUACUCUCAAUUUUGGUCAACUUGCGCCGCAGGGUCUCGGAGGAGAUAGUGUUAGUUGAAGGCUACCAAAUCUGCCAUACACAGACAACUUCAGCUUUAUAAAUAGUAAAAAAUAGGGAUUUUCAUAGAAAAAAAAAGCACCUUUUUUAUGUAAAUAAUUUUUGGUGUUAACAUGGUCCGAUUUGAAUUUUAUCUUCUACGGAAUGAAAAGCAAGCCUUCUUCUAUCAUAAUCUUAAUUUUGGUCAACUUGCGCCGCAGGGUCUCGGAGGAGUUAGUGUUAGUUGAAGGCUAUCAAACCUGCCAUACACAGACAACUUCAGCUUUAUAAAUAGUAAAAAAUAGGGAUUUUCAUAGAAAAAAAAAAGCACCUUUUUGAUGUAAAUAAUUUUUGGUGUUAACAUGGUUCAAUUUGAAUUUUAUCUUCUACGGAAUGAAAAGCAAGCCUUCUUCUAUCAUACUCUCAAUUUUGGUCAACUUGCACCGCAGGGUCUCGGAGGAGAUAGUGUUAGUUGAAGGCUACCAAACCUGCCAUACACAGACAACUUCAGCUUUAUAUAGAUUAUAUAGAUUAGUAAAAGGAAUGCUGGUUUUGCAAAUUUUAUUAUAUAGAUAAAUAGGUAAUAUAAAAUCCAUUAUAAUAUUGUGGAAAAUUUAAGAAGAAUCAUAAGAAUAAGAUUAAGUUAAACUAAUUAUUUGGCUCAAAAAGGAAAAAGUAAGGCCAUGUAGGGGUACAUGGAGUUAUGUACAGGGUGGUGUUCAUGCCAUUUGUGGUCAAGGGAGACUUUGAACCGAGUGGUCGUCAUGAUGGAAAUAGCAUUUUGGAACUUGAAUUUCAACAGCAAAUUCCAAUUUAUUAAUUUUGAUUAUAUUAAUUGCAUUAGAGAGGUUCAAGCUCGUCCAAUUUUCAAUGAUGGCAUGUGCAAAUGUUAUACUGAAUGUUCAUUUCUGUUCUUUGACAGUGUUGCAACUAUCUUCUUUCUCUUCAUCUGUUCUAGAAGACAUUGAGAGGGAAAAAGAAGAAGAGAGAUUGUGAGGGAAUAAAAAAACAGAAAAAUACAGAUUUCACAUUCAGUUGAAAAAAAAACAUUCACAUUAAUUAAAUAUCUACUCUAGGCCGAUGAAGGACAAUGAUCCUGAAACACGGUGUCCCUAGAUGCAGUUCCGGCGGUUGGGGGUGUUUGUCUCCCCUUCGUAUAUGUAUAUAAGGACACAGGGAAAAAAUGUGUCGAAGCUGUCAGGAGGCGUUCGAUGCCUCCUAGGGCUAUACAACGGUGGUGUACCCCCUACUGUCACGUUCUUGUUAGAUUGACAGUAUACAACCAUUCUAUUCACAUUAAUUAUAAAUCUAUACACAUGAACACACACAGAUAUCCCUCUCUCGCUCUCUCUUUCGGAGAGGCACUGAGCAGCUAUACGCACACAUACACACACGGCAGUAACUUCCACCUACCGAAUUCAAUCACAAAGCUCCGGUCGGCUCGGGGCUAUAGUGGAAAACACCUACCCAAAGUGCCACGCAGUGGGACUGAACCCGAAACCAUGUAGCUAGGAAGCAAGCUCCCUAACCACACAGCCAUAUAUAUAUAUAUAUAUAUAUAUAUAUAUAUAUAUAUUCCCUCUCUCUUUUUCGGAGAGGCACUGAGCAGCUAUACGCACACGGCAGUAACUUCCACCCACUGAAUUCAAUCACAAAGCUCCGGUCGGCUCGGGGCUAUAGUGGAAGACACCUACCCAAAGUGCCACGCAGUGGGACUGAACCCGAAACCAUGUAGCUAGGAAGCAAGCUCCCUAACCACACAGCCAUGCCCGCGAAAAUGGAGAAACAAAUUCAUCUCGUUCAUCAACUUACGGAUAUUACAAUUUUACAUUAUUAAUUAUACAAAUGAGAACAUCAAAAUCUAACAAAACUUUAUAUAAAUCAAUAGGCGCAGGAGUGGCUGUGUGGUAAGUAGCUUGUUAACCAACCACAUGGUUCUGGGUUCAGUCCCACUGCGUGGCAUCUUGGGCAAGUGUCUUCUGCUAUAGCCCCGGGCCGACCAAUGCCUUGUGAGUGGAUUUGGUAGACGGAAACUGAAAGAAGCCUGUCGUAUAUAUGUAUAUAUAUAAAUGUAUGUGUGUGUGUUUGUGUGUCUGUGUUUGUCCCCUAGCAUUGCUUGACAACCGAUGCUGGUGUGUGUUUACGUCCCCGUCACUUAGCGGUUCGGCAAAAGAGACCGAUUUAAUAAGUACUGGGCUUACAAAAAAUAAGUCUCGGGGUCGAUUUGCUCGACUAAAGGCGGUGCUCCAGCAUGGCCGCAGUCAAAUGACUGAAACAAGUAAAAGAGUAAAGAGUAAGAGUAGGUAAUAUAAUAAUAAAAAUAAUACAAAUACAUAUUUUAAUAGUCAUAUUAUAAAUUAUUGAAAUUCAUAGACUACUCCUUACAGCUGUUUCAGCCUAUGAUAAAAAGUCAAUCCAACUUAUAUUGCCUAUAGAUGUCAGUUUUAGGCAUUAAAAAUUAUAUGUUAAAAGAACCAUAGGCCUUGUCAGAAGAUAUAAUUAACUUGAAAAGUAUAAUAAUAAUAUUGAUAUACAAAACAUGCUGCACUUAUUAUCUAAUAUAUACAAAUAAAUAAUAAAACAAAUAUCCAAAAUACAUACAUAUACAUAAAUAUAUAUAUAUAACUGUAUAUAUACAUAUAAAAAAAUAUACAUACAGAUAUAUACAUAAGCAAACUGUACAUACUAUUCACAUGCGCAAAAUACAUAAAGAACAACAUUGAACAAUAUAUUACAUUCAGGUGAUAUUAUUAUCAGCUACUAUGCCACCAGAUGUCUUUGAAGUCACUAGACAGUUUAUGAGGGAGCCCAUUAAGAUUUUAGUGAAAAAGGAAGAGUUGACCCUGGAAGGUAUCAAACAAUUCUUCGUUCAUAUUGAGAAAGAGGUAAGUCAGAUAUCGGUUUAUAUCUAUUUCUACGUUUUUAAAUGUAAAUUGUGACAAAAGUCAUAACGUAGACCGUAUUUUGAACAAAUCACAUUAAUUUUUAUGCUUUACUGUUUUCUUAAUUGUUUAGCAAGCUACUUACCACACAGCCAAUGAGGGUGAGAAAUUAGAUAUUAAUUUAAUUAACAUCGAUUUCACACCAGUGGUCUAGCAUAUAAAAAAACUGAAGGUUCAGUAAAAUUGUAUUAUAUACAUAUUAGUGCAAUACCGCGUAGUAACACAUUAGUGCUAUGGCAGCCAGACAAUUAGAGCUAAGAUGCAGUAAUAUCAGAAAACCAGUUCUUGGCCUUAAAGAGAACUAAGAUUUUAAUUGAGGGAACUAGAGACCAACUGGUGACCUGUCAACAUAUCUCACCACCUGCAACUCAAUUGAGAAAAGCUGAUGUUUGUUUCUUCCAACUGACACUAUAUAUGGCUAACUGCAACCCCAAGCAGGAAGAACUAACUAUUAUCCUCUUUCAUAAAGUCAACAUGAAAGGCCUUUGUGUAACUUAUAUUAAUCCAGAUGGUUUUAAUGCAAAAAUAAGAUAUAAAUCUUUCUGAUUUACUCAGCUAUUAGUCCUUUCUUGUCCACAUGUGAUAGAAUAAAUCAAAUAUAUUUUUGCAAUGACAUCUUAGUGUUUUUCGCUGAAGUGAAAUUCCACCUUAAUUAAGUCUUCUGAUAUUCCAUUUUACAUCCUUCCCCAAAUUUUCCCAUAGAAAACCCACAGGUAACUUACAUGUCCCAGGAUAACCAAUAGUCCCAGGAUAACCAAUGCCUCGAGAGUGAAUAUGAUGGACAGAAACUAUGUGAAAGUUUGUGUGUGUCUUUGUGUCUAUCCCGCCACCAAUAGACAACCGUUGUUGGUGUGUUUACAUCCCUGUAACUUAGUAGUUUUCCGCAAAAGAAACCAAUAUAAUAAGUAGCAGGCUUAAAAAGAAAAAUAAGCACUGUGGUCAAUAUGUUCAACUAAAAUCCUUCAAGUUGAUGCUCCAUCAUGGCUGCAAGUGAAAGAAGAUGCCAACUCAUACAACAUGGGACUUCAAAGCCUCUAGCAUUCAGAUUACUUUAUCAAAUGUUAUGAUUAUCUAUUCACAUGGUUUUCAAUCUCUUUUACUCUUUUACUUGUUUCAGUCAUUUGACUGCGGCCAUGCUGGAGCACCGCCUUUAGUUGAGCAAAUCGACCCCGGGACUUAUUCUUUGCAAGCCUAGUACUUAUUCUAUCGGUCUCUUUUACUUGUUUCAGUCAUUUGACUACGGCCAUGCUGGAGCAUUGCCUUUAGUCGAGCAAAUCGACCCCGGGACUUAUUCUCUGUAAGCCCGGUACUUAUUCUAUCGGUCUCUUUUGCCAAACCGCUAAGUGACGGGGACGUAAACACACCAGCAUUGGUGGUCAAGCAAUGCUAGGGGGACAAACACAGACACACAAACACACACACACAUAUAUAUAUAUAUAUAUAUAUAUAUACAUAUAUACGACAGGCUUCUUUCAGUUUCCAUCUACCAAAUCCACUCACAUGGCAUUGGUCGGCCCGGAGCUAUAGCAGAAGACACUUGCCCAAGAUGCCACGCAGUGGGACUGAACCCGGAACAAUGUGGUUGGUCAGCAAGCUACUUACCACACAACCACUCCUACAUUAUUUUGUAGCUUCAACAUUUUAAAUGAAGUGAUUCUUUUGCUUUUAGAGUGACAUUGUAGGGUAGGCAUGAGAAGCUGGAUCUGGCUCUUUUGAACUCAAGACAUUGUAUCUGGGCUGGAUAUAACUGGAUAAAUGAUAAAGGGUUAACAUCAAAUGAAAAAAUAAUAUAUUUAAUCACAAAAUAACAUUCUUACCGAAAUUUGUUUUGGAUUUUUUCAUAUAGCAACAUAAGCCGCAGAUGAGCAAGAUGAGAAAAACAGUUGUCACAAUGACAUCAAUUAUGAUGGGUGUGUAGUUGGUUCCUGAUGCAAUGUUA